CCUACGGGUGGCAGCAGUGGGGAAUAUUGCACAAUGGGCGCAAGCCUGAUGCAGCCAUGCCGCGUGUAUGAAGAAGGCCUUCGGGUUGUAAAGUACUUUUAUCAGGAACGAAAUACCACGGGUUAAUACCCUAUGGGGCUGACGGUACCUGAGGAAUAAGCACCGGCUAACUUCGUGCCAGCAGCCGCGGUAAUACGAAGGGUGCAAGCGUUAUCGGAAUUACUGGGCGUAAAGCGUGCGUAGGCGGUUUGUUAAGUCUGCUGUGAAAGCCCUGGGCUCAACCUGGGAAUGGCAGUGGAAACUGGCGAGCUAGAGUGUGAUAGAGGAUGGUGGAAUUCCCGGUGUAGCGGUGAAAUGCGUAGAGAUCGGGAGGAACAUCUGUGGCGAAGGCGGCCAUCUGGAUCGACACUGACGCUGAGGCACGAAAGCGUGGGGAGCAAACAGGAUUAGAUACCCGUGUAGUC
rnacentral:rRNA from 1 species